GCUUUCAAAACUGUCGUUCUUGAGUGGUGCAGAGGUAGGCGGAAUUCCCGGUGUAGCGGUGGAAUGCGUAGAUAUCGGGAGGAACACCAGUGGCGAAGGCGGCCUACUGGGCACUAACUGACGCUGAGGCUCGAAAGCAUGGGUAGCAAACAGGAUUAGAUACCCUGGUAGUCCAUGCCGUAAACGAUGAUUACUAGGUGUGGGGAGAUUGACCCUCUCCGUGCCGCAGUUAACACAAUAAGUAAUCCACCUGGGGAGUACGACCGCAAGGUUGAAACUCAAAGGAAUUGACGGGGGCCCGCACAAGCAGUGGAGUAUGUGGUUUAAUUCGAAGCAACGCGAAGAACCUUACCAGGUCUUGACAUCCAACGACCGCUUAAGAGAUUAAGCUUUCCUUCGGGACGUUGAGACAGGUGGUGCAUGGUUGUCGUCAGCUCGUGCCGUGAGAUGUUGGGUUAAGUCCCGCAACGAGCGCAACCCUUAUCGUCAGUUACUACGCAAGAGGACUCUGGCGAGACUGCCGUUGACAAAACGGAGGAAGGUGGGGAUGACGUCAAAUCAUCAUGCCCUUUAUGACCUGGGCUACACACGUACUACAAUGGCUGUAAACAGAGAGAAGCGAAGCCGCGAGGCAGAGCAAACCUCAUAAACACAGUCUCAGUUCGGAUUGCAGGCUGCAACCCGCCUGCAUGAAGCCGGAAUUGCUAGUAAUCGCGGAUCAGCAUGCCGCGGUGAAUACGUUCCCGGGCCUUGUACACACCGCCCGUCACACCAUGAGAGCCGGGGGGACCCGAAGUCGGUAGUCUAACCGCAAGGAGGACGCCGCCGAAGGUAAAACUGGUGAUUGGGGUGAAGUCGUAACAAGGUAACC
rnacentral:rRNA from 1 species